GGACGCAGCCGAAUACCAGGCCAGACUUAGAUCUUGCAAGAAGAUUACAAUCUGCUGGGAAUGCAGACACUGUGGACCGCCAUCUUGUACAAUCUGACAGAAGUGUUUAUGCUUGAAAUCUCCAUAUUUACAAUGGCUGACGCCUCCUCUAGGAUGGAGAGUUUCACCCCACAGCUCAACUGAUGGAAUUGUGUUUGUAAACAACCUACAUUCAUGAAGAUGUAAGUCCUUUAACAUAAUUGCCUUACAACUGAUGUAUUGCACUAAAUGUUUUUUCUUCACUAUCUGCUCUCUUGGAAAAAAUACACUCCAACAGCCAUAUGUAA